GUAUCAUUUUAAAUGUAAUAAAUACGUACACCACUAAAAUCUGUGAAAUAAUCUGAAUCUCUACAUACACGUGUAAUAAUGUCAACCAGAAUCUCAACAACAAAGUGAAACGGGUGCUAAACCGGCUAGGAGGAGUGACAGGUGAUAGGCCAACGGGUGCUAAACCGGCUAGGAGGAGUGACAGGUGAUAGGCCAACGGGUGGUAAACCGGCUAGGAGGAGUGACAGGUGAUAGGCCAACGGGUGCUAAACCGGCUAGGAGGAGUGACAGGUGAUAGGCCAACGGGUGCUAAACCGGCUAGGAGGAGUGACCUGUGAUAGGCCAACGGGUGCUAAACCGGCUAGGAGGAGUGACAGGUGAUAGGCCAACGGGUGCUAAACCGGCUAGGAGGAGUGACAGGUGAUAGGCCAACGGGUGCUAAACCGGCUAGGAGGAGUGACCUGUGAUAGGCCAACGGGUGCUAAACCGGCUAGGAGGAGUGACAGGUGAUAGGCCAACGGGUGCUAAACCGGCUAGGAGGAGUGACCUGUGAUAGGCCAACGGGUGGUAAACCGGCUAGGAGGAGUGACCUGUGAUAGGCCCUGGGAAUGGAGGGUGCUAAAGAGUUCAACAGCCUUACGGCCUGGGGGAAGAAGCGGUCUUGAGACCUGUUUGUUGUGGACCAGACACUCCUGUAUCUUCUGUCAGACGGUGGUAAAGAUGACAUCACCUCCUAAACCCAUCGCACACCUGAAAGAACUGGAUAGCCACAUAAACCUGCAACACUGGGAAAGUAUUAUUUUACUAUUAUUACAAGCUAAUGGGCGAAAACAACUUGCUUGGCUAAAUUGAUCAUCAUUCGCAAACUGAACUGAUUCAAAAUGGAUGUGGAAAUUCCCCUGUCCAGUUGUGGGUAUAUCGAUAUUUGAAAGAAAAUAUAGAAAAUGUGGAAUUCAUUGAAAAAUGUUGUUUGUAUAGCUAACAUAGAAUUAUUGCAACCAACCAAUGAGAUAGGGAGCGGGCAGUGCCUUUUGAGUCCUGCUUAGUGUGCUCUAGAAUUAUUUUGUAGAUGUGCUUAAACUACAACUUACAGAAAUGCAUAAACGUAAUCCUUAAACAGGCAAAGACCUGAUUUUCCAGGUCUGCACCAAUUUAAGGAUUAGGGUUAGCAUUUCUGUAAGGGAAAUGGUCAUUCCCAAUUACUUCUGCUGGCUGGAUUCAGGAGGAGCACAUUUAUUAAGAUUGAAUUUGAACUAAGACAGCUUCCAACAGGCUUGCAGUAUAUCUACUGUAAGACUAUGGAUAUGAAUUCUACAGGGAUGGGGAUUUACAAAAGAAGUUCAUCUGCAUGUAAGGUAACAAUGAGUUAUGUCUUUCCUUGAUAUUCCCAUAAUCCCCUCAUCUGCUAGUACUGCGCACACAGCAGGAGGCCUCAAGCUCUUUUUUUAGCAAAACAUAAAUAGUUGGUUAAAAAUCUUUCUUUCAAAGUUGAAAUGUCGUGGCUAACUGAGGUAUGAUAUUGAUUGUGUUACACAUUCAGCUCAAAAUGGGAGGUUUAGGAAAUAAUUGUCGCAUUGCAAAUGUCAGAGACUGCAUCUAUAAUUGGAGAGAAAGAAUGCAAGGACUUCAAGACAUAGAAUGAGCAUAUAAUCAGCUUGGCUUGACAGGAUAGUUCAUCCCUUUCAAAUUCCAACUAAUCCAUCAUCUAGAGCUUGGGGCAUGUGAAUUAGGCAUGGUUAGAGUACAAAAACAUGUAAGGUAAGUUAAUAUGACCCAAAUACUAAAACAUUAGCUAAGAAACACAAAAUAAACACAAGCAGACCUAUGAUGGCCCUCACCUACCUCACCUUGACUAAACCAGAACACUACUGGAGAAAUAAUACUCACUGCAGAAGUAGUUCAUGAAACAUGAUUAGGGUAUAAUAAAAGCAAAAACACUGUUCCUCCCUGGGAUUAUCCCCGUCCAACAAAAGGUCCUGAAAUAUAGUAGAAAACAUACAUGAAAACAAUGUAAAGAAAAAGAACCAAAAGAAACAUCUUUAUCUUUUCCUUGGACACUUGGCCUGGGAUGCUUACAAAGCCAACCUGUUUCAGCUAGCUACCAUUGCAGUGUUCCCUUUGGUUGGAGCACAUUUUUAAAGGGUUCUCCUAACAAGAAAGCCAAAUAACUUUUAUGUUGUUAAUGGACACUUUUCUUUUAAUGACUACAGGCUUCUCUUUGUUAGAUGCUAUUUGCACAGGAUGUUUUCACUGGCUGUCCCUUUCAAGAGGUCAGAGGCUAUUGGAUGUUGUGCUCUGUUCUAAUAAAGCCUGGGACUUUAACAAGACCCCUGCCAAUCACUGUGUGAUUGUGUGUGUGUGGUGUGUGGUUUGUGGGGCAGUCCCAGUGGACCAAAGUCAUGGGGAAUGCCCCAGAGUGACCAUGAUGGCAUCCGCAUUCCUCAAGCAUGUGGAUACACACGGACAAUGGAAAACCCCCAACCAUGAACACACAAACCAAACAUUUAACCACAGCACAUAAUUCCCAAGUCUAACAGUAUUACUGUAUCAGCUUUGUACAAUUCAAAGGCACAAACAUUUACAGUGAAACGGUUUCAUCACAUACCUUAUUGAACAAAAGGGAAUGCAAAAAAUAGACAACACAAAACAAUGAGGCGUUUUGGCCUGAAACCAGGAGGAAGCCAUAUGCUUUCAUUUCAACUCUAUUAUUUCUCAAACGCUGUCAUGCCAGCCUCCUGGGAAAUGGCAGCGCCAACCUCUCGACUACGCUCCUCCUCGUUUGUGUACUAACCACCAGCGUGGGAACGAUGGCACCAACACCCCUGGUUGCCUUGUUUUUCUUUCACCCCUCGUGGGUUAUUGUGCUAUGUGUAUUGUGCUUAGCCAUGUAGUGUGCUGUUUGUCUACUGAUACUAUAAACGGCCUUGUUGUUACCUUA